rnacentral:lncRNA from 1 species
GGUUGAAGUCUUAGGGAAAUCAUGAGUUGUGAAAACAGCCAAAUGUGGAAGAAUUGAAAAUGCCACACAUGGUCAGGAUAGAUGUUCAGAUACAACUUGACAAACUUUUAAGCUUUCACCUCAGCGCAGAAUCAGUGUACAAAAACUGAGAGAAGUAGAUGUUUUUCAAAUGCCCAAUUUUCAGUAAAAUUCAUGAGACAUACAAAGAAACAGGAAAGCAUGACUUGCUCAAAGAAAGAAGCCAUCCCUGAAGCAGCACAGACACUGGACUUACUAAACAAAGACUUUAAAACAACUGUUUUAAAUAUGUUCCAAGAGCUAAAGGAAAGCACGAAGAAUUAAUGGAAAUCUGGAAAAAUGAUGUAUGAACAAAAUGAUAAUAUCAGUGUUUAUUCUCUUACUCACAUGGGAUUUUGUUAUUACUUGACCCAUAUCUUUCCCACUGAGCAAAUAUAGGGACAAAAUUAAAUCUGGGUAACGGUGAUAUUCCCAGCUGUAUUCAUUGUAUCUUCUAUAUUCUAAUCUCUGUGUUAGGAUCUGUAUAUAUGUUCUGUACUUUGUUCACUUGAUCCACCCAACUAUUCUCUCAGGAUAAUUAUUACAUGGUCUUAUUAUAGAUAAUGGCCAGAUGAUUCCCUAUGCCACUGGUUACCUGAGGUCACUUUUCAGCUGCAGAGAAAUUUCUGGAUGUUUUUCCCACCGUUUCUCCCUCAACUGGUACCUGAUGUCUCACCCAGGUGUGCAGGAUCUUUCGGUGCUGUCCACCCCGAAUAUGCUCCUGUGCACCCUCAACUUUGGAAACGGAAACAGGCUAGUCUGCCUAGAAAUCUCCAGAGCAUUCUAGGCUAAUACAUUAAAAUUAAAGAGAAACAGAAGCCAUCACUACAAAUUGCAACAUUAUUGUUCAAGCCAAGAUCGUCCUAAUUAUAAACUAGCAUUUUUAUAGAUGUCACAGGGGCUGUUUUAGUGCUGCUUUGCUGAUGCUAAAAAGAUAGUGUGGAAAUGUGAUCAGGGAUCCUCACAUGACUGUCUAACUGGAGGAAAAAAAGUUAAUUAGACUCUUUUUGGCAUAUUAGUGAAGACAGGCUUAUUAGACACAUUUACAAGCUAAUGAUAUGCCUAUACUCUGCUAUCAAAAAAUGCAUUUAAAUAAACUGAUUUACAGUUCAGCCA